rnacentral:lncRNA from 1 species
CUCUUAGUGCGCAUGUGUGAGCCCUCUCAUCCGACUCCUGAGAUCUUAUCAGGAAGCUGCUGAUCACCAGCUUCAGGUGUUUCUAUUUAUUGGGAGACUGUCUUUCCCUGGCACCAGCUGCAACCAAUGAUUACUUUAGAGAGACAGUUUAACAACUGCCUGACCAUCACCUGAUGGUCAUCUGACAUUCCCAGGACUCCAGAUAAGAGCCCAGGCCAAAGGACACCUUGAUUUUGACCUUGUCAGACCUGGAGUUGAAAAACCAGCUGCACCCUUCUAGAAUUCUUACUUACAAAACUGGAGAUGUUACAAGACAAGAUGAUUUCACUGGAAGCUGAGUUUUGCCAGCUUUGGGGAAAUGCUGAUGCAGAACAUCAUUUAUUUAAGGCUGAUACUCAUGGAUAGAAGAGUCAAAGUGCGAAUAUAUGCACCCUUCUAUACGGAUUCUGCAGAAAGAUAUGCUUGGGUCAUGACUCAGCUAUUUACAAAGUUGCUGGUGACUAAUUGCUGGAAAGAAGCUGGGACGUUCUGUGGCCCCUCCAUUUUAUAUCCCCUCCCUUUGGUUCUCUAGGAAAUUGAGUUCAGGAAAGCUACCAGGAAUAAAACUCUUACUUUUUA